rnacentral:rRNA from 1 species
UUGUGCUUGCACUAAUUUGUUGACGACCGGCGCACGGGUGAGUAACGCGUAUCCGACCUACCCAUAACUCGGGCACAGCCGCUCGAAAGAGCGAUUGAUUCCCGAUAUGUCCUUGGAGUAGAUUCAAUGAUGAAAGAUUUAUCGGUUAUGGAUGGGGAUGCGUAAGAUUAGGUAGUAGGCGGGGUAACGGCCCACCUAGCCGACGAUCUUUAGGGGUUCUGAGAGGAAGGUCCCCCACACUGGUACUGAGACACGGACCAGACUCCUACGGGAGGCAGCAGUGAGGAAUAUUGGUCAAUGGGCGGAAGCCUGAACCAGCCAAGUAGCGUGAAGGAUUACAGCCCUACGGGUUUUAAACUUCUUUUAUAUAAGAGUAAUGUGCACUACGUGUAGUGUAUUGCAAGUAUUAUAUGAAUAAGCAUCGGCUAACUCCGUG